UCUAAUUCAUUCAUCUGUUAGAUAUUAAAACAUUUAAAAAUUCAUAUUUUACAAAAGUGGCAUAACCCAAAAAGUCCUCCCAUUUCAAUUGACUGAAUAUUGACAGAGAAGCGUGUCGUUAACGAGCUCACACCGAAAAGUUCACCGCAAUUAUCCAUGAAUUUGUUAGAUAAAAAAGAUCUCAACCUAAUCUCACACCAGACACGUAACUAUUGAUUGGUCUCUUGGUAGAUGAGCGGUGAGUUUGUACGUAUCUUGCUCGACUUUCACUUAAGAUGACUGUAAAACUCCUAUCAAUUCUUCGAAAUCCCUCGAUCCUGAUGCUGAAAAGCAGAUAUUCUUACCAAAAUCACUCACAAACGAGUUUCGCAGGAUCCAGCUUUGUGAUUCACCUUAUUACAGUCGCCCAGAAAUAGUCCUAGGCAACAAGGUUUUCAUUAUACUCCAACACCUGAUCAACCACAACCAAUAUGACGGGGUUAAACAGAAUGCAUUGAAGACUUGGCAGCGCUGAAGGAGGAGCAACAAAUCACAGUUAGAAGCUUUGUGGAACUUGUGAUUUCUCUGAUUGAUCGGAAGCAGAAGCUUGCCAAAAAAGAAAAAAGAAAAAAGAAAAAACUCGGGCCCCUAUCAAUGAAUGAUAACUUCGCCAUGGCUUUAUACGAUUUCUCGUUAAUAAUAGAUGAGAUUAGGGUUUAGGGUUGCAAUUGGGUUUGCCUUUGAGGUGUAGGAGAGCCCUCACAUCAAUCCUUUUGUGUUGCAGCGACUUCGCACCAUCCCUUGCAUGUGCAGCCCGUAGC
rnacentral:lncRNA from 1 species